GACGAACGCUGGCGGCGUGCUUAACACAUGCAAGUCGAACGGAAAGGCCCUGCUUUUGUGGGGAGCUCGAGUGGCGAACGGGUGAGUAACACGUGAGUAACCUGCCCUUGACUUUGGGAUAACUUCAGGAAACUGGGGCUAAUACCGGAUAGGAGCUCCUGCUGCAUGGUGGGGGUUGGAAAGUUUCGGCGGUUGGGGAUGGACUCGCGGCUUAUCAGCUUGUUGGUGGGGUAGUGGCUUACCAAGGCUUUGACGGGUAGCCGGCCUGGGAGGGUGACCGGCCACAUUGGGACUGAGAUACGGCCCAGACUCCUACGGGAGGCAGCAGUGGGGAAUAUUGCACAAUGGGCGGAAGCCUGAUGCAGCAACGCCGCGUGCGGGAUGACGGCCUUCGGGUUGUAAACCGCUUUCGCCUGUGACGAAGCGUGAGUGACGGUAAUGGGCAAAGAAGCACCGGCUAACUACGUG
rnacentral:rRNA from 1 species